GACUAAAUAAGUAAGUAUUUGCAUUUAAUUUUUACAACAACUUUAUUUCCAUCGACUGGUUCACGUUUCAAGACCCUAAGAUGUCGUCUAAAAUUUUGAUACUGUCCAUUCUGGUAUUUUUCGGAAUUUUCGGUAUGGCCGUUGCAGAAUAUCUUGAAGAGGGUUGCGUCGGUAGAUGGUGUCAUCCUUCAUGCGGUCAUUGGUGCUGCUAUGGUCAUGUGUGUAACGCUUGGCCAUUCCAACAAGGAAAGUGUAAAAAAGGAACGUAAAUCCCAAUACAUUUUCAGAGAACACUGAAUAUUUUUAUGCCAAUUGUUGGUAAAAACUGAUUUUAAAAAUAUUAAUAAAAGUUAUCAUUAAAAAUAUA